CAUGCAAGUCGGAGGGCAUCGAGGGGAAAGCUGCUUCUGUCGGCGACCGGCGCGACGGGUGAGUAACGCGUAUCCAACCCUUCCCCUUAGGUAGGGCAUACGCCCGGACGAAAGGUCGGAUUAAUACCCUAUGUUUUCCGAUGAGGACAUCUGAGCUGGAAUAAAGAUUUAUCGCUAAGGGAUGGGGAUGCGUCUGAUUAGGUAGUCGGCGGGGUAACGGCCCACCGAGCCAACGAUCAGUAGGGGUUCUGAGAGGAAGGUCCCCCACAUUGGUACUGAGACACGGACCAAACUCCUACGGGAGGCAGCAGUGAGGAAUAUUGGUCAAUGGGCGAGAGCCUGAACCAGCCAAAAGUAGCGUGCAGGAUGACCGGCCCUAGUGGGUUAGUAAACUGUCUUUUAUCGGGGGAUAAAGUGAGGGACGCGUCCCUUUUUGUAGGUACCCGAUGAAUAAGGACCGGCUAAUUCCGUGCCAGCCGCCGC
rnacentral:rRNA from 1 species